AGAGUUUGAUCCUGGCUCAGGACGAACGCUGGCGGCGCGCCUAACACAUGCAAGUCGAACGAGCGAGAGGAGGCUUACUUUCUCAAGCGAGUGGCGAACGGGUGAGUAACGCGUGAGGAACCUGCCUCAAAGAGGGGGACAACAGUUGGAAACGACUGCUAAUACCGCAUAAGCCCACGGGUCGGCAUCGACCAGAGGGAAAAGGAGCAAUCCGCUUUGAGAUGGCCUCGCGUCCGAUUAGCUAGUUGGUGAGGUAAUGGCCCACCAAGGCGACGAUCGGUAGCCGGACUGAGAGGUUGAACGGCCACAUUGGGACUGAGACACGGCCCAGACUCCUACGGGAGGCAGCAGUGGGGAAUAUUGCACAAUGGGGGAAACCCUGAUGCAGCGACGCCGCGUGGAGGAAGAAGGUCUUCGGAUUGUAAACUCCUGUUGUUGAGGAAGAUAAUGACGGUACUCAACAAGGAAGUGACGGCUAACUACGUGCCAGCAGCCGCGGUAAAACGUAGGUCACAAGCGUUGUCCGGAAUUACUGGGUGUAAAGGGAGCGCAGGCGGGAAGACAAGUUGGAAGUGAAAUCCAUGGGCUCAACCCAUGAACUGCUUUCAAAACUGUUUUUCUUGAGUAGUGCAGAGGUAGGCGGAAUUCCCGGUGUAGCGGUGGAAUGCGUAGAUAUCGGGAGGAACACCAGUGGCGAAGGCGGCCUACUGGGCACCAACUGACGCUGAGGCUCGAAAGUGUGGGUAGCAAACAGGAUUAGAUACCCUGGUAGUCCACACCGUAAACGAUGAUUACUAGGUGUUGGAGGAUUGACCCCUUCAGUGCCGCAGUUAACACAAUAAGUAAUCCACCUGGGGAGUACGACCGCAAGGUUGAAACUCAAAGGAAUUGACGGGGGCC
rnacentral:rRNA from 1 species